rnacentral:rRNA from 1 species
CGGCAACGGAUAUCUCGGCUCUCGCAUCGAUGAAGAACGUAGCGAAAUGCGAUACUUGGUGUGAAUUGCAGAAUCCCGUGAACCAUCGAGUUUUUGAACGCAAGUUGCGCCCGAAGCCGUCAGGCCGAGGGCACGCCUGCCUGGGUGUCACGUAACGUC